ensembl:lncRNA
GGUUCACAUUGCUUCCCCUUUCUCAUGAGGACAGCCAACCAUUAACCCUUCCAUUGGAGCAUCUCCAGCCUGUGUCUACAACAGAGAUCAGCUGCUUCCCACCCUCACCCCCAACCUGUCCAGACUUGCAGGAGGCCCAGCAUCCAGCCAGGAUGAGCUAGGCAUUCCCACUGCAGCUGGUCCUUUAUCCCAACAGUAGCAUGACCACUUAGAAGCCGUAAAGAGAAUGGCAGAGAGAACCAGGCUGGGCCCCAUGCACAUCUCGAGAGCAACAAGCACCACUCAGUGGGCACUAUGAAAUGUCUCUACCUCAGAGGGCUGAGUUGCCCCUCGGCCUCCUCCUGCUGCUCCCUGCCCCGAGUGGAGUGCUGCUAGUCACUUCUUUGGGGAAGAGCAGCUGCUCGGCCCUCUUGGCACAGCCACAUGGAGAAGCCUGGGCAGCGGCUGGGAGUGUCCGGCCACCACCAGUUAUUUUGUGAUUCUUUUGUGUUCCCAGUUCCACGUUCUGCGUCUUCAUGGCAGAUGUCCACACUGUUUGGCCCUGAGCCGGACUGCCCCGCUGUCCAGCGCUGAGCAUUAGUCACACUGUGCUGUGCAAAAAUGCUGCCCCGGGAUCUCCCUGGACUCGUCUGCUUGCGAGGGGCGGGCCGGCAUUCAUGUGCGCUGUGUUCACAACUUUUAUGAGGAUAACUGGUUUUCAUUUUUCAGUCAAAUGUAACACACCUCAAGGUUGGAACUGUUUAACAUGUACACAAAACAGCACCCAGCAGAGGGCUGCCUAGACACAGAGCAGGCGCUCGGCUGUUCUCCAGAGCUAGUGACGUUCCGCCCUAUUGCCGUGUUGUUUAGAGUGACUUGUCUUUAUGCUGUGAAUGUGCUAUACACCAGAACGUAAGCUCUCCAACGACAGACUCCUGCCUCGCUCACUGCUCUGUCCCUUGAACCAAGGGCAGGUUCUACUCCGAGAAGCUGCUCAGUAAAUAUCUGUUAGAUUAACACUAUUUUGAAUAUUCUUGGUAAGUUUUGUACAUAUAUGAUAAGCUGCCUAAUUGUGAA